CCUUACCUACUCUUGACAUCCAGAGAAUUCGCUAGAGAUAGCUUAGUGCCUUCGGGAACUCUGAGACAGGUGCUGCAUGGCUGUCGUCAGCUCGUGUUGUGAAAUGUUGGGUUAAGUCCCGCAACGAGCGCAACCCUUAUCCUUAUUUGCCAGCACGUAAUGGUGGGAACUCUAGGGAGACUGCCGGUGAUAAACCGGAGGAAGGUGGGGACGACGUCAAGUCAUCAUGGCCCUUACGAGUAGGGCUACACACGUGCUACAAUGGUCGGUACAGAGGGUUGCAAAGCCGCGAGGUGGAGCUAAUCUCACAAAGCCGAUCGUAGUCCGGAUUGGAGUCUGCAACUCGACUCCAUGAAGUCGGAAUCGCUAGUA
rnacentral:rRNA from 1 species